GUGGGUUAGGGAUGAUCACAUGGGAACCACAAAGCAAUGUGAGUCAGCAAACAUCAGACAAAACAACAGAAUGACACUGAAUCAUUAGAUAUAAAUAUUAAUGCAUUUGAGACUCAUUGUAGAUGGUCCAGAACAGGGAAGGCUGUAAGCUGAAAAAUGUGGAAAUGAAAUGAAAUGUGGCAGCAAGUUCCAGUUCUGUUACAAAACAACAUAUUUUAUGGGUUUUGCAUAUCUGAACAAACUGAAGGACACGUCAUGAUUCCUCCAUCUACAACUUUGAGACAAGAUUGCGUUUAGACACAAAGAGACAUUCCUGCAGUGAUCUUGAUGCAUGAGCCAGCAGCGCCAAAAGGCUCUCCACUCUUCCAGCUUUUUCAAUGACUUUGAUUUGGACUGGCCAACACACGUUUGAGGAGUACUGCAACCUGGACACAGUUAACAUGGAGCAGGUGAUGCACUGGAUGCUAAAACUCAAGACAUGGUUCCUCCUAAACACAGCUGUAAAACCUUUAUGGAUAUGUCAAGCAAACUUUAAAUUUACCCACAGUGCAUUUUGGUGGUGAUAUAAGGUUUGUGUCAGGUGUAAUAAGAGUUAUUUAGUUAUGCCUAAACAACCAUAGAACAGGACUGAUAACUGCAAAGCUACAAACCAGGGACAGAUUGUGAACCAAAUGCAAAUAAAAUUUUAAACAAUAUGUCACCAAGGUGGUGUGUAAUGUCAUGUGCAAACAGUAUACAAAGCUAGUGCUGUGGGUUAUGUCAGGGGCUAUCUAUAUAAGUUAAAAUAAUAUUAAAAGGUCACUGUGAGCUGAACUCAUAAGGAGAAACAUACCCACAUGUUGUUAAUACCUUAGUGCGUCAGACCAACAGGAAGACCCCAUUACAGCAUUUGCAGUUGCCAAAAACUUUGCAGUUUUGCCCCUGUGGCCCCUGAUAGCAAUCUACUCCCUUCAGUGGGCACUACUCAGGCUGGACCACUAUGUAACAGCCCCCCAGAGAGCUCAUAAAAUGGAUUUUAACAGACUCUUUGCACUCAAGAUAAGAACAAAUUGGACCAAACUUAAUGCCAGAUUCCUUGAGAUGCAGGUGGACACAUUCACACAAUCCAUAAUGAUUUAGACCAGUUAAUGAUGA